UCAGCUUGACACCCCGAGGUGUGAUUGCAGACACCAAAAACCAGACAACAAAUACAGGAAAUAUUGUUGAUGUGCUAACCAGUUUCUUACCGACCGGCAUUAAGGUUUAUAGUGUGUCCGUUUGUCGCGCCACGCAGUUGUUGUUUCCACCUCAACAUUGCGCAUAUUUUUGCAUUUUCGGUUUCAAUCUCGUUUUCUCGACUGUUUUUUUUUUGGUUCAUUAAACUUAUAUCUAGUGCACCACCCUUUGAUUUUUUUCUCUCGUAGUGUAUGGAGAAAAAAUAAAUAGAAUUGCGUUUUAGCGUAUAGAACUGAAGAAGAAAAAUGUUUUAAAGUGAACAAAUCAAUAAAAUGGUGCCGUAUAUUGCGACUAAUGCACUGUGGAGUGACACCAAAAUGUGGAUGAAGUGGAAAAGGGUUAAAUCCCAGUGAUAAAUCGCUUACGUCCUGUGGCAUAUUUGCAACUGCGGUAAACACUUGCGACCCAAGACCUUUAGUUCAACCAGGGAUUUCGAACUAAAUGUGAAUUUAUGGCAAAAAUCUGUGAUUAAAAAAAGGAAAAAUAAAAUGUGCAUGUGAAAUGUGAAUAUCACCAACUUACAACCCCAACGGAAAAUUCACACGGGAAAGUUGUUAGAAAUCAAGACGAAUUUUCGUGAAUGUGUUCCAUAGACAGAAUCCCCUAGUUAAAAAAAAAAUGGUAAUACUAGAAAAAAAUAAAUAGUGGCAAAGGAUAUCGUAAAACAGAAAAAAAAAGGAAAGAGUUCAUCAAAAAUUUUUAAGGGGUUUUGUGAUGAGAUACGAUAUAAUAGAACCACAUCAGUCUGUCAGAAUAAGCAAUUCUGCCAAAGGAAUGGCUUAUCAUCCAUUCUUGCAACUGUCCCGACCCACUGACUUCAGCGUCUCAUCGCUGCUGACAGGUGGUGCACCACUCCAGGGACAAGGAUCACCACCAUCCUCCUAUUUUCCGGCGGCAGCUCUGGCCGCUCUUACGGGCAGCGGUCAGACGCCCCAUUCGCAUCUCUAUCCUAGUGCCAUUUUACCAAAACUCACCACCGCGACCCAUCCUCACGUUCACCAUCAACUAAAUACCCAGUACACUACUGCCGAGGACGUUGUCCUGGCCUCUGUUGCCCACCAACUGCAUCCCGCCAUGCGACCACUGCGUUCCAUCCAGCCGGAUGAUGAUGGCGUUGUUGAUGAUCCCAAGGUCACCCUCGAGGGCAAAGAUCUUUGGGAAAAGUUUCACAAGUUGGGCACAGAAAUGGUCAUAACCAAGAGUGGCAGACAAAUGUUUCCUCAAAUGAAAUUCCGUGUAUCCGGAUUAGAUACGAAGGCGAAAUAUAUUUUAUUAUUGGAUAUUGUUGCAGCAGAUGACUAUCGUUACAAAUUUCACAACAGUAGGUGGAUGGUAGCUGGAAAAGCUGAUCCUGAAAUGCCAAAAAGGAUGUACAUACAUCCAGAUUCACCAUCAACUGGCGAACAGUGGAUGCAGAAAGUAGUAUCGUUUCACAAAUUAAAAUUAACAAACAAUAUAAGCGACAAACACGGAUUUGUAAGUACUACAAUAUUGAAUUCAAUGCACAAAUAUCAGCCGAGAUUUCAUUUGGUGAGAGCAAAUGACAUCCUUAAACUACCUUAUUCAACAUUUCGCACAUAUGUAUUCAAAGAGACGGAAUUUAUAGCUGUAACUGCAUAUCAAAAUGAAAAGAUCACACAACUCAAGAUCGACAACAAUCCUUUUGCGAAGGGGUUUCGUGACUCAGGGGCAGGAAAGAGGGAGAAAAAACAAACACUGAGUACACGCGGAUCAUCGGAUUCAGAUAAAUUAACUCCGGCCAAUAUAUCAACAUCACGGGGUGGAGCAUUUCUCUUGGAUAGUCGCACAAGGCACGAUCAGGCCCAAUUGGAUGAAGAUGAUAACCUCCUGGACGUCGUUGGACCAUCACAGAGUCCACUGUUGCCUCUUGACCAUCCAAUGCAGCUCCCAACACAUCCAAACACAGCGUGGUUCAAUUUAUCCAGUACGGGAAAGCGUUUUUCAGCGUCCUACGACAUGAGUUCGUACGAUGGAGAACGCGAUGGGAGUGAUUCAAAUUGCUCAGAUUCGGGGAAUUUGGGUGCCUUCACGAGGCCCCAGACAUCAGAAAGUCCUCAGGAUGAUACCACCACGAAAAAUAGUACAACAUAUCCCUCACCAAACAUCUCCCUCGGUCCACCAUUGCAUCAGUCACCGCAUCUGUUGCCUUAUCUCUACCCCACGGGUCUCUACCCGCCACCCCCAAUGUCGCUACUACAUUCACCUGCCUCUGCCAUCAAUCCUACACUCAAUCCCAGUCUCCUGUUUAAUGCCCAACUCGCCCUCGCGGCCCAACAUCCUGCCUUGUUUGGCCACUACAGCACAGCAGGUCACACACCACCCUCAACAUCCGCCAUCACGGCCACCUCCACGUCCGCCCUCCAUGGACUGACAAAACACCGCUUUGCCCCCUACAACCUCCCCGGCCUAGGUUCGGCCUUUGAUGCCGUCACACCAACCUCCUCAGUCUCAGGUGGCCAGAGAAGCCUCAGCAGUAGCCCUCGACCGAGACCAUCAUCGAUAUCACCACCCAUGCGACCACUAUCCGCCUCCUCUACAUCCUCCAAAUCCCACACCAUUCACGUAACAGACGCCCCAGCGGCUACUCCACCUGCCCCAACGUCCAAAACACCAGUGCCAUCGAAUGCAACAUCACCCCCACCUCAGGCUUCUGGCCUCAAGAGCAUCGAGAAGAUGGUAGAUGGCCUGGAGCAGCCGAAAGGUGACACAGAUACCACAAAGCUCGAACAGUGACACUUGCUAGAUAUCGACCUUGAGAUGGACACGAAUGAGGAGUUAUGGGACAUUCAGAGAGUACCAGACGGCAAUCACAAAUCAUGACACAAUUUGAUCUCAAUCUAAAUAGCAAUCAUACACAACCAUUGUAAAUGUGGCAGGAUUCAAAAUUUUUAUUUCAUGCUACCACUGUUCAAAAUGGCCGCCUAACGGACUACAAUGAAAACGAAUGUAUACGUAUAAUGCGUAUAACAGUUUUUGAAUGGGAAUUUUCGAUGCAUUUCAACGGACACUAAGUAAGUUUAUCUGUUUUUUUUUUUAAAGUGUUUUAUUGAAUUAUUUAUUCCAAGUGGAUACAUUCACAAACACCCUUGAAGAAAACUUCGCGAUUGUCUGUCAAGGCCCUUACACUCUAACCAAACCAAGUUCAAUGUUCGAAAGUUUUAACCAAUAUGACAAAAAUAUUUAUAAAAA